GACCAACAAAAGUCUUAGAAUUAUGUAGCAUAACCAUGUCCUUUAGGUUGGUAACAAGCAUAAGCACAGGCUUUGCAUCAGAGGUGACAUCCUGGUACAACAAGGGUCCACAUGUUGUAGAAUUUUCUUCUUGUGAUCAUCAUCAAACCACAUCCCUGCAUAAACUAGAAACAAAUGAAGGUUGGCAAUUGGAAUCAGUGUAGAGUGGAAUAUGUUCACAACCAAACUCAGUGACACAAAACCUGGUCAAAAUAGAUCAAGCAUGCUUGCAGCCAAGCCUUGAAGCAGUUAAAAUCCACCAGCCUACGACACUCCACACUGCUCAAGACCAUUGAUGCCGAUUUAGUUCAGAGCAACAUAAGGUUGUCUAACAUCAUUCAAUCUCUAUGGCCAACCCAAGAGGUUUAUGACAACCUAGUUAGGGGACACAAUGCAGUCCAUCAUCACCAGUUAUUUGCAGUAGUUUGCAGCACAAGAUGCAUCAACUGUGGUAUCAUGAACAAUGGAAACAGGAGCAGGUCAGAAGCAUAAUGUAGAACUUGACCAUACAUCAUGGUUCAAUUCCAAACCUUCCAAUCUAGCCUAACUUAAACCUACAACAAAUCACAAAGUUAGCAACAGGCAUAAUAUUCACAAGUCAACUCCAAUUUAAAACCAAUAGCAUGGAAAGCUAACCUUCAGUUCCAACCUUGACAGCAUCAGCAACAUCAAACCAAUAAUGCACAAUCACAUGCCAAGCUCAUGAUGCAAGUCUAUCCAUCACAUAACCAUGACAUCCACAUACCUGUCAUCAUUCAAU
rnacentral:lncRNA from 1 species